AGCGAACGCUGGCGGCAGGCCUAACACAUGCAAGUCGAACGAACUCUUCGGAGUUAGUGGCGGACGGGUGCGUAACACGUGGUAACGUGCCUUUUGGUUCGGAAUAACUCAGGGAAACUUGUGCUAAUACCGAAUGUGCCCUUCGGGGGAAAGAUUUAUCGCCAUUAGAGCGGCCCGCGUCUGAUUAGCUAGUUGGUGAGGUAACGGCGCACCAAGGCGACGAUCAGUAGCUGGUCUGAGAGGAUGACCAGCGACACUGGGACUGAGACACGGCCCAGACUCCUACGGGAGGCAGGAGUGGGGAAUCUUGCGAAAUGGGCGAAAGGCUGACGCAGCCAUGCCGGGUGAAUGAUGAAGGUCUUAGGAUUGUAAAAUUCUUUCACCGGGGACGAUAAUGACGGUACCCGGAGAAGAAGCCCCGGCUAACUUCGUG
rnacentral:rRNA from 1 species